rnacentral:rRNA from 1 species
CCUACGGGUGGCAGCAGUGAGGAAUAUUGGUCAAUGGGCGCGAGCCUGAACCAGCCAAGUAGCGUGAAGGAUGACUGCCCUACGGGUUGUAAACUUCUUUUAUAAAGGCAUAAAGUGAGGCACGUGUGCCUUUUUGUAUGUACUUUAUGAAUAAGGCUCGGCUAACUCCGUGCCAGCAGCCGCGGUAAUACGGAGGAUCCGAGCGUUAUCCGGAUUUCUUGGGUUUAAAGGGAGCGUAGAUGGGUUGGUAAGUCAGUUGUGAACGUUUGCGGCUGAACCGGAAAAUUGCAAUUGAUACUGGCAGUCUUGAGUACAGUUGAGGUAGGCGGAAUUCGUGGUGUAGCGGUGAAAUGCUUAGAUAUUACGAAGAACUCCGAUUGCGAAGGCAGCUUACUAAACUGCCACUGACAUUGAUGCUCGAAAGUGUGGGUAUCAAACAGGAUUAGAUACCCUAGUAGUC